CUUACUUUGUAAGGUCUGCCUUGAAUAAGUGGUAAAGAAGUUCGGGUCCGGUGCAAUGGGACAUCCUGAACCGUGUCAGGUCCGGAAGGAAGCAGCACUAAGGGAUCAAUCCCGUGUGACACAGGGUAGCCUGAAUGGAGCAAACUGUUCAAGUUACGCUUGGAAGGUAUUCUCGAAGCCAGGUGCACGG
rnacentral:SRP_RNA from 1 species